rnacentral:lncRNA from 1 species
GUCCAGGCAUCCACGUUUCCUUAAGUCCGUGCAUCCAUGCAUCUGUGCAUCCGCGCCUCUGUCUGUGUGCGUGAGUCUGUGUGUGUUUGUGUGUGAUUGUGUACGCAUGCAUAUGUGUGUGUGUGUACCCUGCCCUCUGUCUGUCUUCGCCUCAGGAGCGAAUAACAUCAUUAACCUCUCUGCUGGUCGCCAUGACACCCUCGCUACCUACCUUACCUCCGGCCCCACGAACACAAAACUUUCUUAAACUUUAAUAAAACACAAAGUUGUUAAGCUUAGACAGAGUUCUGACGUUAACAGGUGUAGAAUUUAGUUUUUUUAUUCUCUGUCUUUGAAUUGUUUCUUUGUUGCUCUUUCACUCUCAAUCAUUCACUCUUUCUCUUUAUUCCAGACUACUGUUACUGUUACACGAUGUCCCCACUCCCAAAGCCAGAGAGACAGCUUAGUUUUGAAUUUCACAUCAUUGUCAAAACCGCAGAUAAUUUCUCAAUACGUACUGCAAGGCAUACAACUCCCACACAAGCAGUGAUUCAGUUUGAGGCAUCACACUUCAUUUCAACAGUCUCUCUUUGUUUGUCUCUGUUUCUCUGCUUGCGAACAGACAGAGAGACGGAGCUAGCUUGAAGAGAUGUCAAGAUUAUGUCCUCAAGUGUAAUUUUACAAAAGCUGCCUGCCGCACCAUCCAAGUGCAUCAGUAAGGCUUGGCAGUGUUAGAGAGUGUGUCUGUGUGUGUGUUUGUGUCUAUGUGUGUGUGUUUGUGUGUGUGUGUGUGUGUGUGUGUGUGCGUGCAUACAUGCGUGUGUGCAUGUGUGUGGGUGUGAGUGUACACACACUCCGUACACACACAUGCACACACACAUGCUGCUCCCACCACACACACAAACACACACAUACAGAUAAACACACAGGGCUUAAGUGAUGGUUAGAUUUUGCAAUGGAGAGAGACAAAUGCACCGCUGAUCAAUUCUUAAUGGGGCUGAUUAACUGUGAGCAUCCUGGCAGACAGGACACACAGACACAGGCUGACAAGGUGGUUGGUGAGCGCCUCUAAGCCAUUCUUAAUGGGGCUGAUUAACUGUGAGCAUCCUGGCAGACAGGACACACAGGCCUCUAAGCCAUUCUUAACCAUCCUUCAGACUCCAGUGUUACAGUAAUGUCUUUAGUAUUGUAGAGGAGAGAGUAGGGACUAUGAGGUGAGGAAAUCAGCCCCUUCACUACCUCAAAACCAAUAACAGGUGAGGACAUCAGCUCCUUCACUACCUCAAAACCAAUAAGAGGAGAGGACAACAGCUCCUUCACUACCUCACAACAAUAAGAGGAGAGGACAACAGCUCCUUUACUACCUCACACCAAUAAGAGGAGAGGACAUCAGCCCCUUCACUACCUCACACCAAUAAGAGGAGAGGACAACAGCUCCUUCACUACCUCACACCAAUAAGAGGAGAGGACAACAGUUCCUUCACUACCUCACACCAAUAAGAGGAGAGGACAACAGCUCCUUCACUACCUCACACCAAGAAGAGGUGAGGACAACAGCUCCUUCACUACCUCAAAACCAAUAAGAGGUGAGGACAACAGCUCCUUCACUACCUCACACCAAUAAGAGGAGAGGACAUCAGCCCCUUCACUACCUCACACCAAUAAGAGGAGAGGACAUCAGCCCCUUCA